CAAGAGAUGAAAACCAGUCAGCCUCUGUAAGAUUCUUACCAUAUAUUUUCUUUGCAUUGAUUUUGUAGUUUUUAUAUAUUGUUUGUAUGUUGUGUUAGGAUCCUGCUUUGCUCUGCACAUAAUGUUUGCUAACAAAAUGCUUUGAAUUCUAGAGAGUGGAUCCUUAUUCUGUAAAGAACAAAGGUCCUUGCCAAGAGCAAAUGAGAGACGAUUUUGCAGCAAGAGCAUAUGAGAGGUCAGGUAAAGUAAAGUUUCCUCUAUUCUCAUGUGUAUAUACUCAAUUCUCAUGUAUUCUUCCCUACAUGUUAUUUGCAUUUGAUGAGCCUUGGUGGCUUGGCUUGUUUU